ensembl:snRNA U6 U6 spliceosomal RNA
GUGCUCAUUUUGGCAGCACUUAUACUAAAAUUAGAACACUACAGAGAAGAUUAGCAUGGCCCCUGCACAAGGAUGACAAUACAAAUUGAAAAAUAAAUUUAA